rnacentral:rRNA from 1 species
GACGAACGCUGGCGGCGUGCUUAACACAUGCAAGUCGAGCGGUAAGGCCCCUUCGGGGGUACGACGAGCGGCGAACGGGUGAGUAACACGUGGGUGACCUGCCCUCAGCUCUGGGAUAAGCCUGGGAAACUGGGUCUAAUACCGGAUAUGACUCCAUGACGCAUGUCGUGGGGUGGAAAGCCUUGUGCGGCUGGGGAUGGGCCCGCGGCCUAUCAGCUUGUUGGUGGGGUGAUGGCCUACCAAGGCGACGACGGGUAGCCGGCCUGAGAGGGCGACCGGCCACACUGGGACUGAGACACGGCCCAGACUCCUACGGGAGGCAGCAGUGGGGAAUCUUGCGCAAUGGGCGAAAGCCUGACGCAGCGACGCCGCGUGAGGGAUGACGGCCUGGU